rnacentral:lncRNA from 1 species
AUUCGGCUAAUCAAUGUCUUUUAAGUUUCUCCUCAGAAACGGUGGCCAAUCAUCAUCUAUACAAAUCCAUGACAGGAUGAAAUGAGUUCAUGUGGAUCUGGGUGGCUCAAAGGAUGGACGACAGCAGGUGCUAUGGAGUCCUUUGUACUCUCUGUGAUUUUCCUGUGUCUAAGGACAGGAGAUGGCAUAAGCAGAUAAAAGGUGCAGAGUUGUAUUAGAAGUCCACACAUCCCAUGAAAGGCAUGGAAAAAUAGAAAGUUAUUCAUCAGAUUGCAAUGGACCUCUUAUAUAGAAAAAGAUCCAAAGUUGAACCUUGAACUACUGGAC